GACGAACGCUGGCGGCGUGCUUAACACAUGCAAGUCGAACGGUAAGGCCCUUCGGGGUACACGAGUGGCGAACGGGUGAGUAACACGUGGGUGAUCUGCCCUGCACUUCGGGAUAAGCCUGGGAAACUGGGUCUAAUACCGGAUAGGACUCCUGGCUUCAUGGUUGGGGGUGGAAAGCUUUUGCGGUGUGGGAUGGGCCCGCGGCCUAUCAGCUUGUUGGUGGGGUAAUGGCCUACCAAGGCGACGACGGGUAGCCGGCCUGAGAGGGUGACCGGUAACACUGGGGCUGAGAUACGGCCCAGAAUCCUACGGGAGGCAGCAGUGGGGAAUAUUGCACAAUGGGCGCAAGCCUGAUGCAGCGACGCCGCGUGAGGGAUGACGGCCUUCGGGUUGUAAACCUCUUUCAGCUAUGACGAAGCGCAAGUGACGGUAGUAGCAGAAGAAGGACCGGCCAACUACGUGCCAGCAGCCGCGGUAA
rnacentral:rRNA from 1 species